rnacentral:tRNA from 1 species
AGCCGGUUAGUCUAAGACAAAACAUUUGAUUUCGGCUCAAAAAUUUAUGGUUUAAAUCCAUAACUGGCUA